CCUACGUGUGGCAGCAGUGAGGAAUAUUGGUCAAUGGCCGCAGGGCUGAACCAGCCAAGUCGCGUGAGGGAUGACGGUCCUAUGGAUUGUAAACCUCUUUUGUCAGGGAGCAAAGGGCGCCACGUGUGGCGUUUUGCGAGUACCUGAAGAAAAAGCAUCGGCUAACUCCGUGCGAGCAGCCGCGGUAAUACGGAGGAUGCGAGCGUUAUCCGGAUUGAUUGUGUUUAAAGGGUGCGCAGGCGGAAUGUCAAGUCAGCGGUAAAAUUUCGGGGCUCAACCCCGUCGUGCCGUUGAAACUGGCGUUCUUGAGUGCGCGAGCAGUAUGCGGACUGCGUGGUGUAGCGGUGACAUGCAUAGAUAUCACGCAGAACUCCGAUUGCGAAGGCAGCAUACCGGCGCUCAACUGACGCUGAAGCACGAAAGCGUGGGUAUCGAACCGGAUUAGAUACCAGAGUAGUC
rnacentral:rRNA from 1 species